GUGAGAUGCGUGAUAGAAGGACAUAUCCCACAUCACGUGCACUGAAGACAAAGCUGUGAAAGGAUAGAGUGUGGGGAGGGGCUUCUGUCUCAGAUGUGGAGGUCAGGGACGUCCUCCCCAGCGGGUGACUUUGGAGCAGGGGCCUGAGGGACGUGGGCAGCCCGGCAGACCCCUCAUUACAUGUGUUAAAGCCUCCUCCGGUGGGGGGCUGGGCAGAGGCUAUUGCAGUUGUCCAAACUUCCUGCAAUGGCAGAACAUUCUAGAUCCGCACUGUCCAGUAAGGUGGCCACGAGUCACACGUGACUGUCGAGCUCUGGAAAUGCAGCUGGUGCAGCUAAGGAGCUGAAUUUUAAAUUGUAUUUAAUUCUUGUCACUUUAAAUGUAAAUGUCUACCCAUGGCUAGCAGUGACAGGGCAGGCCCACCUGGCCUUGGCGAAGCAGGGUUCCCAUUCCACCGUGACCUGGCAGGAGAUGUCAGACCGCAGCUGAGGGCCCUGCUGGUUUCCUACGAGGAGGCUGCAGAUGGGAAUGAGGACCUCACGGUCAAGGGCGUGGACACCUCCCGCCUGACAGAUGACACAUUUAUCAAGCCUCUCUGAGUCCUCGGCUGUCUUGGUGGAGACUCCAAAGGUGAGGCCGGACUGCAUGUCCCAUGACCCUUCUCCACCGGGCAGGGCCAAGGACCCUGCAGCAAGGGCCCUUCAUGCCGGGCUCACCACCCUGUUCCCUCCAUGACCUCGCCAAAAGCCUCCCGCUCCCACCCCCGGCUUUGGGACGGUCAAACAGGUGAGGGCUGGGGGUCCUGCCCCGGGGGGAGGAUGACAGGCGACGGGAGGAGUGCCUGGCAUGGCCGAAGAGAACACGGCAGUGGGGUGUGUGUCAGCAGCAGUGGCACAGCCAAACCCCGGCAGGCUUCAUGCAGAAGGCGGCAUCUGGGGAGAAGUUAAAAGCUGAGCAGGAGCCAGCGGGUGAAGUGGGAAACGGAGAAAGGGCUAUAGCCUGUGCCCAGCUCUCCCUGUCAGCCUGAGAUGAGGGACAUCUUUUGUGUCCGGGCACUGCCUGGGUUGCUUGGACAGAAGCCUCAGAGCUGGAAGGAGCUGAGAAACCACAAGCUCCAAUGCUCACGCCCCAUAGGGGACCGAGGAACCGCAGAAGGGACCGCACCUGCCCGGUGGCCAGCAACGGAAGGACGGCAGGGAGCGAACACACUCCAGCCCCUACGGUCUCUCCGCUCUCCCAGCUGAGCUGUCUUCCCCGGAGGCCGGGCUGCAACCCGAGAAGGCGCCGCGCCAUCGGCCCUCACCCUGCUCCGCCUAAGCUGCUGCUUUUCCUCUGCAAAUGCCCUGGGCUGGACGUCAAACCACAGUCAGGUAGGGGCGGCCCAGACCAGGGACCAGCAGCUGGUUCCCUCUGCCUGGUCUCACUUCUAAAGCCACUGGAAGAGGAAACACAUAAAAUGUGACUUUGCAGAGGAAUUCCAAUAAACAAGAUGUGUUUCCAAGUCUUCUGAGGCUGCCGAGACUGAGUAGCUGCGUGUGAGCAGCCACAACUCCUCUGUUGUCCUCCUGCAAAGUGUCCCCGCCCUCCCACUCAGGUCGCGUUCCUCCGGCCGCCCCCGGCUGCUCCCGCCACAGGAGACUGGACGGUGGGCUCUGGCCUUGGGGACCUCCGGCCCUGCCUGCAGCAGGCCCCAGUGUGUGUGGGCGAGAGGGCCGGGCCAGCUGACUCCUGUCUUUCUUUGGGACCACGUCAUCAAGCGGGCUGGAGCCAGAGGCUGGGCCCCUCUGUGUCCCGGGGAUCCUCACCCCCCAGGUCCCCAGUGCUGUCCUUGUCACCACUGAACGGCAGUUUCUCCCCACCCCGUGCUUCAGUUUACCUGUCCGGACCAGGGGUGGCAACCUCUUUUCCAGAACGGGGCAGAAGGUGAAUGCAGUUCACUCUAGUUCUCUGCAUUGUGUCUUCUUUUUAAAGAAAAUAACCCUUUACAAAUGAAGGGUUGGCCGGGUGCAGUGGCUCACGCCUGUAAUCCCAGCACUUUAA
rnacentral:lncRNA from 1 species